UACGUAGGGGGGCAAGCGUUGUCCGGAAUCAUUGGGCGUAAAGAGCGUGUAGGCGGCCCGAUAAGUCCGCCGUGAAAGUCCAGGGCUCAACCCUGGAAUGCCGGUGGAUACUGUCGGGCUAGAGUCCGGAAGGGGCGAGUGGAAUUCCUGGUGUAGCGGUGAAAUGCGCAGAUAUCAGGAGGAACACCGAUGGCGAAGGCAGCUCGCUGGGACGGUACUGACGCUGGAGACGCGAAAGCGUGGGGAGCAAACAGG
rnacentral:rRNA from 1 species